UACGUAGGGACCGAGCGUUGUCCGGAAUCAUUGGGCGUAAAGAGCGUGUAGGCGGCUUUGCAAGUCCGUUGUGAAAACUCGAGGCUCAACCUCGAGACGCCGGUGGAAACUGCAAAGCUAGAGUCCGGAAGAGGAGAGUGGAAUUCCUGGUGUAGCGGUGAAAUGCGCAGAUAUCAGGAAGAACACCCGUGGCGAAGGCGGCUCUCUGGGACGGUACUGACGCUGAGACGCGAAAGCGUGGGGAGCGAACAGG
rnacentral:rRNA from 1 species